rnacentral:ncRNA from 1 species
UAUUAAGCUGUGAAGAAAAGAGUAAGUUUCUGAAUAGGACUAAAGAGAGUCGGAAAUUGGUGGAAACCGAUGUCCUAAGGAAACUGAAGAUCGUUUCUGAGCUUAUAUACUGAACUUUAGUAAGUAUAUACGGUACAUCCGUUAGAAUGAAGCAGCACUUAUUGCUGCAGCUAAGAGUCUGUUGUUUUAGGACACAGAGAAUUAGGGUGGUACCACGAGAUAUCCUUCGUCCCUUUA